rnacentral:rRNA from 1 species
GACGAACGCUGGCGGCGUGCUUAACACAUGCAAGUCGAACGGAAAGGCCCUGCUUUUGUGGGGUGCUCGAGUGGCGAACGGGUGAGUAACACGUGAGUAACCUGCCCUUGACUUUGGGAUAACUUCAGGAAACUGGGGCUAAUACCGGAUAGGAGCUCCUGCUGCAUGGUGGGGGUUGGAAAGUUUCGGCGGUUGGGGAUGGACUCGCGGCUUAUCAGCUUGUUGGUGGGGUAGUGGCUUACCAAGGCUUUGACGGGUAGCCGGCCUGAGAGGGUGACCGGCCACAUUGGGACUGGGCUACGGCCCAGACUCCUCCGGGAGGCAGCAGUGGGGAAUAUUGCACAAUGGGCGGAAGCCUGAUGCAGCAACGCCGCGUGCGGGAUGACGGCCUUCGGGUUGUAAACCGCUUUCGCCUGUGACGAAGCGUGAGUGACGGUAAUGGGUAAAGAAGCACCGGCUAACUACGUG